rnacentral:rRNA from 1 species
CUGGUUGAUCCUGCCAGUAGGUGAUAUGCUGCUCUCAAGAUUAAGCCAUGCAUGUCUCAGCCUCAGGUGCCAGAUAACUUCGCUGCGAAUGGGCUCAUUAAAAACGCUAUAAUUAAUUUGCUCGUCCUGCCUUAGUUGGAUAACUGUGGCAAUUCCAGAGCUAAUACAUGGCUGCAGGUAUAAUUACAUUGUAAUACCGUGCUUAUUCGGCGCAGAAUUAACCCGAAUUUUCGGUGGAAGGGUGAUUCAUAAAAGACUUACUGAGCGAAAGGUACUAGCCGUCGCCAGUUCAUUCAGAUAUCUGACCUAUCAGCUUUCGACGGUUGAGGUCGUGGCCUAUCGUGGCGUUGACGGGUGACGGAGGAUUAGGGUUUGAUUCCGGAGAGGAGCCCGAGAAACUGCUACCACAUCCAAGGA